GACGAACGCUGGCGGCGUGCUUAACACAUGCAAGUCGAACGGAAAGGCCCCUUUGGGGGUCCUCGAGUGGCGCACGGGUGAGUAACACGUGAGUAACCUGCCCUUGACUUCGGGAUAACUUCAGGAAACUGGGGCUAAUACCGGAUAGGAAUCCUUGCUGCAUGGUGGGGGUUGGAAAGCUUCGGCGGUUUUGGAUGGACUCGCGGCUUAUCAGCUUGUUGGUGGGGUAGUGGCUUACCAAGGCUUUGACGGGUAGCCGGCCUGAGAGGGCGACCGGCCACAUUGGGACUGAGAUACGGCCCAGACUCCUACGGGAGGCAGCAGUGGGGAAUAUUGCACAAUGGGCGGAAGCCUGAUGCAGCAACGCCGCGUGCGGGAUGACGGCCUUCGGGUUGUAAACCGCUUUCAGCGGGGGCGAAGCUUUUGUGACGGUACCUGCAGAAGAAGCACCGGCUAACUACGUG
rnacentral:rRNA from 1 species